rnacentral:rRNA from 1 species
GACGAACGCUGGCGGCGUGCUUAACACAUGCAAGUCGAACGGAAAGGCCCUGCUUGCAGGGUGCUCGAGUGGCGAACGGGUGAGUAACACGUGGGUGAUCUGCCCCUUACUUUGGGAUAAGCCUGGGAAACUGGGUCUAAUACUGGAUAGGACCAUGCUGUAGGUGGUGUGGUGGAAAGAUUUUUUCGGUAAGGGAUGAGCUCGCGGCCUAUCAGCUUGUUGGUGGGGUAAUGGCCUACCAAGGCGUCGACGGGUAGCCGGCCUGAGAGGGUGGACGGCCACAUUGGGACUGAGAUACGACCCAGACUCCUACGGGAGGCAGCAGUGCGGAAUAUUGCACAAUGGGCGCAAGCCUGAUGCAGCGACGCCGCGUGGGGGAUGACGGCCUUCGGGUUGUAAACUCCUUUCAGCCAUGACGAAGCCUCUUUUGGGGUGACGGUAGUGGUAGAAGAAGCACCGGCUAACUACGUG